rnacentral:rRNA from 1 species
UACAGAGGUGGCUAGCGUUGUUCGGAAUUACUGGGCGUAAAGGGAGCGCAGGCGGCUAAACAAGUCUGAAGUGCAAGCCCGGGGCUCAACCCCGGAAUGGCUUUGGAUACUGUUUGGCUUGAGUACGUCAGAGGUGGGCGGAAUUCCAGGUGUAGCGGUGAAAUGCGUAGAUAUCUGGAGGAACAUCCGUGGCGAAAGCGGCCCACUGGGACGACACUGACGCUGAGGCUCGAAAGCGUGGGGAGCGAACGGG